AUGCUGCCGGCUGGCAUCAAGUUCGAUCCCACGGAUCAGGAGCUGAUCGAGCACCUUGAGGCCAAAGUGAGUGCUGACAGCGCGAGAUUUCAGUCUCUCAUCGAUUUGUUCAUACCAACCAUCGACAGCGAGCACGGCAUAUGCUAUACCCAACCUGAGAAACUUCCAGGUAUCACACCGAGUGGCCUAAGGAAGCAUUUCUUCCAGCGCAAUUCCAGGGCAUUCAAAAGGGGCACACGGGCAGCAAAAAAGGUUCUGGUGCUGCACACCAACAAGAACUUCGACCAGCAGAGGACCAACUGGGUGAUGCACCAGUACCACCUCGGGGACCUGGAGCAAGAGAAGGAGCGGGAGCUGCUGUACUACCUUGUCGUCCGCAAGUUGGUAUUGUUGUUAACGAUCUUUUGGUAUGAACUUGCAUUUGCUUCCAACCAUCAUGCCGAGGUAGAGCAAGUUUCAACUGGGCUAUAG
rnacentral:rRNA from 1 species